CGGGAAACCGGAGCUAAUACCGGAUAAUAUAUUGAACCGCAUGGUUCAAUGGUGAAAGACGGUUUUGCUGUCACUUAUAGAUGGAUCCGCGCCGCAUUAGCUAGUUGGUAAGGUAACGGCUUACCAAGGCAACGAUGCGUAGCCGACCUGAGAGGGUGAUCGGCCACACUGGAACUGAGACACGGUCCAGACUCCUACGGGAGGCAGCAGCC
rnacentral:rRNA from 1 species